rnacentral:rRNA from 1 species
GACAGAGGGUGCAAACGUUGUUCGGAAUUACUGGGCGUAAAGCGAGUGUAGGCGGUCUUAAAAGUCAGGUGUGAAAGCCCCGGGCUCAACCCGGGAAGUGCACUUGAAACUGCAAGGCUAGAGUACUGGAGAGGUUGGUGGAAUUCUCGGUGUAGAGGUGAAAUUCGUAGAUAUCGGGAAGAACACCCGUGGCGAAGGCGGCUCUCUGGGACGGUACUGACGCUGAGACGCGAAAGCGUGGGGAGCGAACAGG